GACGAACGCUGGCGGCGUGCCUAAUACAUGCAAGUUGAGCGCUGAAGGUUGGUACUUGUACCAACUGGAUGAGCAGCGAACGGGUGAGUAACGCGUGGGGAAUCUGCCUUUGAGCGGGGGACAACAUUUGGAAACGAAUGCUAAUACCGCAUAAAAACUUUAAACACAAGUUUUAAGUUUGAAAGAUGCAAUUGCAUCACUCAAAGAUGAUCCCGCGUUGUAUUAGCUAGUUGGUGAGGUAAAGGCUCACCAAGGCGAUGAUACAUAGCCGACCUGAGAGGGUGCUCGGCCACAUUGGGACUGAGACACGGCCCAAACUCCUACGGGAGGCAGCAGUAGGGAAUCUUCGGCAAUGGACGAAAGUCUGACCGAGCAACGCCGCGUGAGUGAAGAAGGGUGUCGGAUCGUAAAACUCUGUUGGUAGAGAAGAACGUUGGUGAGAGUGGAAAGCUCAUCAAGUGACGGUAACUACCCAGAAAGGGACGGCUAACUACGUG
rnacentral:rRNA from 1 species